GACGAACGCUGGCGGCGUGCUUAAAACAUGCAAGUCGAACGGGGUCCAACCAGUCGCAAGACUGGGGAAGACCUAGUGGCGAACGGGUGCGUAACACGUGAGGAACCUGCCCCGGAGACCGGGAUAACCCUCCGAAAGGAGAGCUAAUACCGGAUGUGCUCACCGAGUCGCAUGGCUUGGUGAGGAAAUGGAUUCCGCUUCGGGAUGGUCUCGCGGCCUAUCAGCUUGUUGGUGGGGUAACGGCUCACCAAGGCGACGACGGGUAGCUGGUCUGAGAGGACGAUCAGCCACACUGGGACUGAGACACGGCCCAGACUCCUACGGGAGGCAGCAGUUAGGAAUCUUGCGCAAUGGGCGAAAGCCUGACGCAGCAACGCCGCGUGGGGGAUGAAGGCUCUCGGGUUGUAAACCCCUUUCAGCAGGGACGAUUGUGACGGUACCUGCAGAAGAAGGACCGGCCAACUACGAGCCAGCAGCCGCGGUAAUACGUAGGGUCCGAGCGUGUCGG
rnacentral:rRNA from 1 species